rnacentral:rRNA from 2 species
CUUGCAUCAUGAUUUACAUUUGAGUGAGUGGCGAACUGGUGAGUAACACGUGGGAAACCUGCCCAGAAGCGGGGGAUAACACCUGGAAACAGAUGCUAAUACCGCAUAACAACUUGGACCGCAUGGUCCGAGCUUGAAAGAUGGCUUCGGCUAUCACUUUUGGAUGGUCCCGCGGCGUAUUAGCUAGAUGGUGGGGUAACGGCUCACCAUGGCAAUGAUACGUAGCCGACCUGAGAGGGUAAUCGGCCACAUUGGGACUGAGACACGGCCCAAACUCCUACGGGAGGCAGCAGUAGGGAAUCUUCCACAAUGGACGAAAGUCUGAUGGAGCAACGCCGCGUGAGUGAAGAAGGGUUUCGGCUCGUAAAACUCUGUUGUUAAAGAAGAACAUAUCUGAGAGUAACUGUUCAGGUAUUGACGGUAUUUAACCAGAAAGCCACGGCUAACUACGUGCCAGCAGCCGCGGUAAUACGUAGGUGGCAAGCGUUGUCCGGAUUUAUUGGGCGUAAAGCGAGCGCAGGCGGUUUUUUAAGUCUGAUGUGAAAGCCUUCGGCUCAACCGAAGAAGUGCAUCGGAAACUGGGAAACUUGAGUGCAGAAGAGGACAGUGGAACUCCAUGUGUAGCGGUGAAAUGCGUAGAUAUAUGGAAGAACACCAGUGGCGAAGGCGGCUGUCUGGUCUGUAACUGACGCUGAGGCUCGAAAGUAUGGGUAGCAAACAGGAUUAGAUACCCUGGUAGUCCAUACCGUAAACGAUGAAUGCUAAGUGUUGGAGGGUUUCCGCCCUUCAGUGCUGCAGCUAACGCAUUAAGCAUUCCGCCUGGGGAGUACGGCCGCAAGGCUGAAACUCAAAGGAAUUGACGGGGGCCCGCACAAGCGGUGGAGCAUGUGGUUUAAUUCGAAGCUACGCGAAGAACCUUACCAGGUCUUGACAUACUAUGCAAAUCUAAGAGAUUAGACGUUCCCUUCGGGGACAUGGAUACAGGUGGUGCAUGGUUGUCGUCAGCUCGUGUCGUGAGAUGUUGGGUUAAGUCCCGCAACGAGCGCAACCCUUAUUAUCAGUUGCCAGCAUUAAGUUGGGCACUCUGGUGAGACUGCCGGUGACAAACCGGAGGAAGGUGGGGAUGACGUCAAAUCAUCAUGCCCCUUAUGACCUGGGCUACACACGUGCUACAAUGGAUGGUACAACGAGUUGCGAACUCGCGAGAGUAAGCUAAUCUCUUAAAGCCAUUCUCAGUUCGGAUUGUAGGCUGCAACUCGCCUACAUGAAGUCGGAAUCGCUAGUAAUCGCGGAUCAGCAUGCCGCGGUGAAUACGUUCCCGGGCCUUGUACACACCGCCCGUCACACCAUGAGAGUUUGUAACACCCAAAGUCGGUGG